GGGAUGUGGUCACUCUUCAACGAGCUUCGCCUUUCGCAAUGACACCUACAGUUAAAGCGAGAUUGAUAAGAUGUUAUGGCAUGCAUUCAACCCAAAAUGAUGAGCUAAAUAGUUUUGAAUACAUAUUCCAUGAUAUAGAGGUAUAAUUUAUAUAUCAAGUUUUAUGAUUAAAUAAAUAUAUAAAUGCUUAUUCAUAUAAAUAUAAUGAUUAAAAUGUUCAAACUGCAGGGGACUAGGUAUCAUUUCACGGCAUCAUAAUUUAUAAUAUCUAAGUUCAUCUCUAAGUUUCAAGAAGAAGGGCUUUAUGCCAUCCGGAACUUCGGUGUUACACAUAAUCAAUCAAAGUUUAGAGUUACAUCACACAAGUACAAAGCAAUUUUUUAUGGAAACACACAAGUUAGAGUUUAAACUAAUACAAUGUUUCCUAAUAUCGUUUAUGCAUUCAAGUCCUUUGAUGAUAUUCAAUCUAUAGAAAACAUUGCAGAUGUUGUUCCAAUUGGUAAUGAUAAACUAUUUUUAUAUUUUUUUUCAUAUAUUUCUACAUAUACUACAAACUCUUAGUCAUGACGUAUGUGACUCGUGCACAUGUUAUAGCCAGAGUCGCCUCCAGGCCUAAUCCAACGAAACAGAUAACUCGAGAUGGUAAAGAAAAAAUAAUAUGAGAUCUUAUUCUAGAAUAUAUCGAGUGAGUAUUUAUGUAUAUUUUGGUCAUUCUUUCUUUGUUAUUAAAACUUAAUUCUUGUUGUUCUUACUAUAUUGUAUAAUAUUUAUUCAAGGAGAAAGACAAUCUCUUGCAUUUUGUGGGAUAAUUAUGUUGAUAUAUCUAUCUAUACAUAUAUAAAAGCUGGUCCAUCUAGCCAAAAAAAUUUCCCGCCCUUUUACUCAAUUUAUUUUUGGAAAGUUGAGUCUAUAUUUGGAAAGUUGACUAAUUUAUAGGAUGAUAUAUAUAUAUAUAUAUAUAUAUAUAUAUAUAUUUAUUUAUAUUUAUAUUUUAAUUAAAUGUAAUUAAAUCUACAUUUAAUUGAACGACAUUUAUUCCAUAUCUAUAUAUGAAAUUUAUAUGUAAAAAUUUGUAGAUCACUAAUUUCAAUUAAAUCUUUUGUGAGAAAUAUUUAUCCAAUAAAUAAAAUUCAAAAUAUAAAUACAUAUAUACAUAUAAAUUGCAUGGGAUCUUGUAGUCAUUUGCAAAAGUGAAUAUUCUUUUUGAUUUACACGCAAUUUUAGACUAUAGAUUGUUUUGAAUUCAAGAGAAUAAAAAAUUAUUUACGAACUCGUAGCAAUAUCUCAUAUAAAUUAUUUUUAUUUACACGCUAUCUCAUAUAUUGAUUUCUAAUUAUUUUCAAUUAAAUCUUUUGGAUAUAAACAAAAGAAGGGCUAUAUAAGGUUGCUGUUAAUUUUUUGUUGUGAUUUUUGCAAAUUAUGACAAAUAAUAAUAAUAAUAAUAAUAAUAAUAAUAAUAAUAAUAAUAAUAAUAAUAAUAAUAAUAAUAAUAAUAAUAAUAAUAAUAAUAAUAAUAAUAAUAUUCUUAUUAAUGCUAAACACGACACAAUAGAUCAUCCAAUCAUAUCUCCAUAAAUCAUGACCCACAUUGAUUAUGUUUCUAUGUUUUGUCUAACAAAUCAAAAUACCAAUAUACCAAUCAACUAUCAACGAAAUUAUGAAAUACAUAUAAGUAGAGUAAGGUAUUGAUUGGUAUGCAUGAUUAAUGAGAUUUUUGUAUCAUCUUUACAACUAACAAAAGAGAUGAGAAGAAGUCCUAUCUCAGGCAUGCAUGGCGUCAGAUCUAAGAGAGAGAGAGGUGAUAGUGUGAAAUGUGUAAUUUGGCAACAUUCCAUAUAUAUCUCCCAAAAAUAGUAACAACUUUUUAUUAUCGUCAAACCAAAAUCAACUCCAUUAUCAAAGCAUCUCAUUCAAUAUAAUAUAUUAAAUAUAUAAGUUUCAUAUAUAUCUCCCAUCAAAUGUGUAUCCCCGUGGCCUAUAUAAACUAACUUUUGGUGUGAAAUUUUUACUUAUACUCACUUCUUCUUUUGAUAUUCAUCAUUUCUCUAAUCACAAACAUGCCGACCAUAUAUGUGGUCUUUAGUAAAAAAAUUGCAACCAAAUAAUGGCAGAUCUGCAAUGAAUUAAAUAUGAGGCUAUUUUAUUUUGGAAGGGAAAGUUCUCACAGACCAUAAUGCAGGACAUCAAGUAUUGAUACCAAGGAUGACACUGAUACCAGUUGAUCCAAGACUACCGCUCAAGUUUCAACGGCAGCAGUUCCCUAUUAUUGUUUCUUAUGCAAUGACUAUAAACAAAAGUCAAGGUCAAUCACUCUCUCAUGUGGGUUUAUUUUUUAAUAGGCAUGUUUUUAGUCACAGUCAGUUUUAUGUAACUAUUUCUAGAGUUACAAGUCGAAGGAGUCUGAAAAUCUUAAUAUGUAAUGAAGACAAAGUAGAUUAUUAAUUCUACAAAUGUUGUAUAUAAAUUAUAAAGAAGUGUUCCAAAUUUUAUAAUAAUAAGAUGACAAGUUUGCAAUUGUCUUUUCAUGUAUUAUUAUUUUCACCUUUAUUUUUAAGUAAUUUAAAAUGUUAGUCUUAAAUAUAUUUUAGCAGUAACAUAGUUGGUAUAACAAUUGUAUAAUAAAAUAUUUUAAAAUAAUUUAUUUUAGAGAUUAUACAAAAGUGUCUUUCAGAAUGUUACAAUAAAAUGCUUAUAUUGUUCGAUGUCUUACUUAAUCAGGUAUAGACAUCCUAUGAACUUUUACGUAAAUGGAUGAAUUUUAAAAUAAGUUAUGAUAUUUUUUAUUAUUUUAUAUCUUUAUUUUAAUUUUAAUAACUUUCAACAAAAAUAUAUUCAUAUUUCUUUUAAAAAAUUAGUUAAGCAAAACCAAAUUUUAACAACAUAUGUAAUCCCGUGCAUCGCACGGGUAAAACACUAGUUUUAGUUUAAAAUGGGGGUGCAAACUUUAGAUGUACAAAAAAUUCUAUAAUACAUAUUAAUACUAGUAAAUUUUUUUUUUUUUUGGGGAUGCAACUGCACCCCCAUGUUCCAUGGUGUAUCCGCCCCUGCUUCCUAUCUUGGUUGGACAGAUUCUUGCUCACCAUUGUUGGGUUUUUUUUUUGUUAAAUUGUUGUGUAAAACACUGCCAAACUUCCCAUUUUUAUAAGUGUGUUUUGGAAGAAAGUUGAAAUUUCAUUUGAACUUUUUGGGAGGAUGUGAUAUACAAAUUUCAGUUUUAAUGAAAUGAAAAAAAUUCAAGUGUUCAGUGCCAAAUUUCUCUUCUGCCACCUUUUUUUGUUUAAGUCAAAUUUCAGUUUGUGUUCUCUGAAUUAAAAACGUCGACUUCACAAAUUUCAGUUUCCAUUAAUAUUUAAAUUAAUUUAAAAUUCUCAAAUUUUAAAUAUUGAAAUAGGUUGUUAAAAAUUUGAUUGUAAUUAACACAUUAAUUAUGUUAUUGAAAAAGUCAAAAUCUAGUGGACCACACUUAAUUAAAGCAUAACUAUCCUCUUCUUAAUUUCCGUGUCCAAAAGAAAGUGACCGGUUUUAAUGGGACAAAAAGAGUAGUACUUUUUCCUUCUUAUGCAUUUAUUAUUCAUUCUCUAUUUUUCACUUUGUAAACAUUCUCCAUAAAUCAAAAUUAUCUUGUCUUUUCUCUAAGGAGGCGUUUACUUAGCAUGAUUGAUAAGAUGCAUGAUUGAUUAUUUUUAUCCUUAAAAUUUUAGGAUUUUUUUUAAUCUCGCCCUUGCAAUGGGAUAUAAAUCAAGCACAACUAGUUGAAAUGAUAGAAAUAAUCAAGGGCCUUGAGAUAUCCUAAAGUUCCAAUUCAUCUAAGUAAACAAGGGAUUAGACUUACUAUUUUUGUCUAUCAAGGUUAAUCCUAAAAAGUAAAUUCCCCCCCUCCCUUCCCAAGUAUUCAUUGUUUCCUUACUUUUGUUCUGCAUUUAUUUGUCGGUAUACUUUCUCCAUCUUCGAUUACAAUCAUCAUCUCCGUUUGAAUCACCGAAAUUUUGUUGCGUCCAGUCGAGAAGCUUGGACUUCCAUAUUCUCCAUGAAUCUCAUGUAUUCCUCGGCUAAAUUCUCUUUCUUUACCAAGUCUCUUUCUUUUCCCCUCAAAUUAAUAGUUUAAUUUGUUGUAGCCAAAAUCCAUCACAACAAACUUGUUCAUCGUUAUUAUUUAUUUAAUUUAUUCAUGUUAUUUCCAAUUUUGUUGUGUUUUGAUUUAAUUAUGUUUGACUAGUUUUCUUAUUUGAUUCUAGGGUUUAUAUGCUCUUUUAAAUUUAUGGUUUAAAUUUAUUAAUUUCAAUUUAUGAUAUAUGAUUCUUGGUACUUCUUCGUUCCAUGUGAAGUACUUAAUCAAAAUUUUGUAAGUUUAGUUGUUCAAUUUGAGAUCUAAUCGUGAUAAUUUUUCAGCCGAUUUAGAAAUGCACGAUAUAAUUUUACCUUGAAUCAUAGGAGAGAUAGGUGGAUUAUAGGAGUUAUUCUUUGUCCCUUUUGAGAGUUAGUAGAUUUUCUUGAGUCCUAGCAGAUGUAGAGAAUUGAUUAGUCUACUGUCAUGCGCUGCACACGAGAGGGAUUAUUAUUGUGAUCUUUCAUCUGAACUAGAUUAAAACUGUGAAUUGGUUUAAUGGUUAAUUACACGAGUUUAGUUGAUUUUCCUAAGUAUGUUAUUUUAUUUUAUUUUGACUUUUUUGCAUAUUUAUAUUGCCUUUCUCUAGUUAUAUAAUUUUCCCUCUUUAAGUUUAUUGUCUGGAUGUUAGUGAAGUGUAUGCUUUGUUAUUCACUGUGUUUUUAUGUUUUUAGUGUAUGUAGUGGAUAUGACACUUAUGGGUGAGCAGUCGGUCCGAAUCGGACUGAACCGACGAAAUCGAGGACCGCAUCAUCAAAACUUUUAAAAAAAAUCAACCAACCGAACCAAAAUUCUCCUUCCAACCAAUCCGAUCCAAACCAUACUUAAACUUCGGUUUCGGUUUGGUUUUCGGUUUAUCCAAACUUUGAUAUAAUAUUUAAAUUUUUAAUUUUAGAAACGUAUUUCCUAUCAAUGAGAAUUUUGUAACAAAAUAAGUUAAACCAACCUCAACUCAAAUAUUAACCAUAAAAUAAAAUUUACCUAUUCAUUGACCAAUUUCAAUUAUGAUCAAAUUGUAACUAAUAUAUAUAUAUAGGGGAUGGCUAAAAUAAAAACACUGCUUAAAAUAUAAAAUAUAAACAAUUUUCAGCCCUUAGAUCAUCAAGAUCUACGGUUGAUUCAUAACCUUGUUGGAUGAAUUCGUGGUCCUGGGUUCGAAUCUCAAAGGUAGCAAAAAAUUAUUUUUCACAAUUCGUAACUAUGUUUGAUGAAUUCGUAACCAUGUUGGAUAAAAUUCGUACAUUAAAAAACGUUUAUAUUUAUAUUUUAAGAAGUGUUUUUGCCGUAGCCCUCCCAUAUAUAUAUAUAUAUAUAUAUAUGAGUAUAUAUUAUAACUUAUUAAAUUAAAAACUUACGGUUACGGUUCGGUUUCUAUACCUUAAANCGCCGUCUUCCAUCCUCGGCCGCCGCCCUCACCUCCUGCCACGGCUGCCGGAAGAGAGAAGGAAGGGAGAGAGAGAGAGAGAGAGUGCAGCGGAGGAAGCCGAUCGCCGCCGCAGUCCUCGGCACGCUGUGAGAUCUACGUGCUCAGCCGUCCGCUAACGCUGAUUGGGGAGGAGGACAGCCUGGACCAGCGGAGGAAGCCGAUCGCCGCCGCAGUCCUCGGCACGCUGCGAGAUCUACGUGCUCCGCCGUCCGCCGACGCUGAUCGGGGAGGAGGACAGCCUGGAGCAGCGAAGGGAGCCGAUCGCCGCCGCAGUCCUCGGCCUCAGCAAGCUCAGAUCGAGAAGAGAGAGAGAGAGAGAGAGAAGAGAGCGUGCAGAGAGAGAGAAGAGAGAGAAAAAAAUGAGAGGUUUGCCCAUUUAUAUAGAAGGGCAAUUUAGUCUUUUAACACAAAAAGUGGGUAAAAUUUUAAGUUUUAAUUUGAGUGGGUAAAAUUUAUUUUUGUUAUAAGAAAGUGGGUACUUUGAUAUAUUAACACUAAUAAUAAUAAUAAUAAUAAUAAUAAUAAUAAUAAUAAUAAUAAUAAUAAUAAUAAUAAUAAUAAUAAUAAUAAUAAUAAUAAUAAACACGACACAAUAGAUCAUCCAAUCAUAUCUCCAUAAAUCAUGACCCACAUUGAUUAUGUUUCUAUGUUUUGUCUAACAAAUCAAAAUACCAAUAUACCAAUCAACUAUCAACGAAAUUAUGAAAUACAUAUUAAGUAGAGUAAGGUAUUGAUUGGUAUGCAUGAUUAAUGGGAUUUUUGUAUCAUCUUUACAGCUAAACAAAGGAGACGAAGAAGAAGCCCUAUCUCAGGCAUGCAUGACGUCAGAUCUAAGAGAGAGAGAGGUGAUAGUGUGAAAUGUGUAAUUUGGCAACAUUCCAUAUAUAUCUCCAAAAAAUGUAACAACUUUUUAUUAUCGUCAAACCAAAAUCAACUCCAUUAUCAAAGCAUCUCAUUCAAUAUAAUAUAUUAAAUAUAUAAGUUUCAUAUAUAUUUCCCAUCAAAUGUGUAUCCCCGUGGCCUAUAUAAACUAACUUUUGGUGUGAAAUUUUUACUUGUACUCACUUCUUCUUUUGAUAUUCAUCAUUUCUCUAAUCACAAACAUGCCGACCAUGUGGUCUUUAGUAAAAAAAAAUUGCAACCAAAUAAUGUCAGAUCUGCAAUGAAUUAAAUAUGAGGCUAUUUUAUUUUGGAAGGGAAAGUUCUCACAGACCAUAAUGCAGGACAUCAAGUAUUGAUACUAAGGAUGACACUGAUACCAGUUGAUCCAAGACUACCACUCAAGUUUCAACGGCAGCAGUUCCCUAUUAUUGUUUCUUAUGCAAUGACUAUAAACAAAAGUCAAGGUCAAUCACUCUCUCAUGUGGGUUUAUUUUUUAAUAAGCCUGUUUUUAGUCACAGUCAGUUUUAUGUAGCUAUUUCUAGAGUUACAAGUCGAAGGAGUCUGAAAAUCUUGAUAUGUAAUGAAGACAAAGUAGAUUAUUAAUUCUACAAAUGUUGUAUAUAAAUUAUAAAGAAGUGUUCCAAAAUUUAUAAUAAUAAGAUGACAAGUUUGCAAUUGUCUUUUCAUGUAUUAUUAUUUUCACCUUUAUUUUUAAGCUAUGAUGCACGGAUUCUUCAAAAAUUAGCAUGUACGGUGAAUCGGAUUCUUUUAGGGUGCGAUUUUCUCGGAUUCUCGUCGGAUUCGCACCCGAUUCGCCACGUGGCGUAUCUUUUAAAAUAAUUUAUAAAAAUAAAUCGGAUUCGCAAAUUCCAUAGGCGAAAUUCACGUAUCUCCUGCACGAAAGGCCUACACAAGGUUAUUUUGAUAAUUUUAUUUUCAGUUAUGACUUAUAUAUUGGACUAAUAAUAUUUGAAUCGUUAUAUUGUUUCUCAAUUAACUUAUAUAAUUGAAAAUGCUUAACUUUUGGGUAAAUAAAAUGUAAAUUACAUAUAAUUAAUUUAAGAAAAUUUAAAUUGUAUAUAUUUUAUAAGCAUUAUAUAUCAUAAAAUUUUAAUAAUUAGAUGUAUCCUUGUCGAAUCGCACCCUAUAAUUUUUAAAAAUCCGUAUCCCCGUACUCGUAUCGUAUCGCCCCCGCAUCCGCACCCCCGUACCUAUGCAACAUAGUUUUUAAAUAAUUUAAAAUGUUAGUCUUAAAUACAUUUUAGCAGUAACAUAGUUGGUAUAACAAUUGUAUAAAAAAAUAUUUUCAAAUCAUUUAUUUUAGAGAUUAUACAAAAGUGUCUUUCAGAAUGUUACAAUAAAAUGCUUAUAUUGUUCGAUGUCUUACUUAAUCAGGUAUAGACAUCCUAUAUGGAUGAAUUUUAAAAUAAGUUGUGAUAUUUUUUAUUAUUUUUUAUCUUUAUUUUAAUUUUAAUAACUUUCAACAAAAAUAUAUUCAUAUUUCUUUUAAAAAAUUAGUUAAGCAAAACCAAAUUUUAACAACAUAUGUAAUCCCGUGCAUCGCACGGGUAAAACACUAGUUCAUGAAACAAAAUGAAGAACGUCAAAUGGAUGUCAACGUUAUUAUAUUACAAUUUUGCAGCCUAAGUAAAAAUUAGGGUUUUAGAGUGCAGAGCAAUAAGGAGGCGCUAACUGUAGGGGUCGAAUUCUCUGGGAGUUCUCAUAGUUCAUUGUUCAUCCAACAUUGGGAACUGAGCGGGAUAUAGUUCAGAAGAUCUGAGCUGGAAUAAGAUUUUCGCAGGAAACCAAGUUCUGGAUGUCUCCGAAAAAUAGCCAUAACUUUCUCUACAGAACUCCGAUUGAGGUGAAACAGGCGGCCAUAGAAAGCUCUUUCGAAGACGAAGAAGUCGUAUUUCUGCAAAAAAUACGAUUGGAGGUCGUUUGAGGGGUCAAACAGAGCGUUGAAGUUGACUAACCUAUUCAGUGGCAAAUUGAUGAAUUCCUAAGAAUUCUUCAGGUAUUUUUUAACUCCUCAGUGCAGUAUUUAAAUUAUUAGGAGCAUGCUAGGUUUAAUCGAUGUAUGGUGAAUUAAGAUAAUCCAAGAGACCAUCCUUGGGCAAGUCGAGUAUUAAUUAAAUUUAAUAUUCCUUCAGCAUGCUCGUGGCGUCCUAGACUGGUGUGUCCACUUCUUAUUCUAUCAAAUACGUCAAUCUCCAAAGCCCAGAUCAUGCACCAAACACCAAACAACAACCAAGCAACGACUUGAAACAAAAACAAAAAUAAAAGCAAAAAAAGCAUAAACGAAGAGAAAGUAAGAAAACAUGGGUUGCCUCCAUGCAACGCUAGUUAUAAAGUCGCAGCCCGACUGCGAAAAAACUCUUAACCAAAAUCAUUUAAAGCAUUAGCUGCCUUAAAGCUUGUCUCGUCACAAUAUCGUCUGCAUCUAAAUAUAUGCAUAUAAAUCGAAAUAAUAAAAAAUCAUAAUAUUGAUAUCUAGAGACAAUUAAUUGUGUCUUUAAGAACAAAACCGUGUGUUCUCAAUUAUGUCAUUCUAACAAUACAUUGAUUUAAGUCUAUAAUUCCUUAAUGUGAUCAUAAACGUGAUUUUUUUUUAGUUCUCAUAGUAACAAAUCAUAAUGUUAAUCUCAAGCUAUUUUAAAUAGUGUCCUUUAGAAAAUCAAUUGUGUACUUAAGAAUUAUGUGUAAAAACUAAAAAGUGAUCAAUAAAAUUAUCAUUCAAUGGGUGCAUUGAUUAUCAAUUACUCCUUCCGUCCCAUAACAAGUGUCCUACUUUCGUUUUUAAGUUGUUCUGCAACAAGUGCCUUUUUUCUAAAUGAGAAAGUGGGCUCCACCACUUUUAAUUUUUAUUUUUACUCUUUAAUCAUACCCACCUAAAUUCUCAUGCCGAAACGAACUAUGAUACUUGUUAUGAGACAGAGGGAAUAUAACGUACACACCUAUAUAGUGUUGGAUGGAAAAAAACCUCUGAAUCGAUCCAAACUUUUUUGGUUAAGAAAUUUAAGAAAUAUAGAGAAAUGCAGAUUUUGUAUGAUUUCUUUGUUCACCUUUCAUAGAGCAUUUCUUUCUUUAACUACAAUCUAAUUAAAAUUCAACUUCAAGACUUUCAUAGAAAGAGGGAGAGAUGAAGAGAGAGACAAAAAAUGAAGAAAGAUAGUCAUUAUUUUUCGUAAGAGAGAGAGAGAGANCGCUAGGUGUUUUCUGGAUGAGUCACUACUUUCGUUUUUAAGUUGUUCUGCAACAAGUGCCUUUUUUCUAAAUGAGAAAGUGGGCUCCACCACUUUUAAUUUUUAUUUUUACUCUUUAAUCAUACCCACCUAAAUUCUCAUGCCGAAACGAACUAUGAUACUUGUUAUGAGACAGAGGGAAUAUAACGUACACACCUAUAUAGUGUUGGAUGGAAAAAAACCUCUGAAUCGAUCCAAACUUUUUUGGUUAAGAAAUUUAAGAAAUAUAGAGAAAUGCAGAUUUUGUAUGAUUUCUUUGUUCACCUUUCAUAGAGCAUUUCUUUCUUUAACUACAAUCUAAUUAAAAUUCAACUUCAAGACUUUCAUAGAAAGAGGGAGAGAUGAAGAGAGAGACAAAAAAAUUGAAGAAAGAUAGUCAUAUUUUUCGAAGAGAGAGAGAGAGAUACCCUCUCUAUUGACAAUAAAACUUCUUACAUUUCAUUUUUGGGACAUCCACAAAAAAACUUUUCUUUCUAUAUUUGGAUUAUACCCCACCACUAAUAAUACCUUAUUAGUUUACACUUGCUUUUUCACCUUGUCACCAUUUUUAAUACAAAUUAAAACAACAUAAUACUAAUUACACAUUUUCACCACUUUCAAUACACUUAACAAUCUCGCUUUAAAACUCAUGUCAAUCUCUCCUAUAAAAUUUUAUUGUGGAAACGUGAUUUUUUUUUAGUUCUCAUAGUAACAAAUCAUAAUGUUAAUCUCAAGCUAUUUUAAAUAGUGUCCUUUAGAAAAUCAAUUGUGUACUUAAGAAUUAUGUGUAAAAACUAAAAAGUGAUCAAUAAAAUUAUCAUUCAAUGGGUGCAUUGAUUAUCAAUUACUCCUUCCGUCCCAUAACAAGUGUCCUACUUGUUUAGCCCUAUUUUGUGAUGUUUUUGUGAGUUUUCCUGCUGCGCAUUCGAGCUCGUUUCGUACCUUUGUGCUCUAUUUUUCACGUGCUCGAUGACCUUUUGGGUGUGCUACUGUUGUAUGCAGGAAUCGGGAGUUACCGCGCGUUUUGGCUUCGUUUUGAGCGUUUUCAGAGGCAAGGCUCACGGCCGCCGCCGCCAGGCGGCGGCCGCCGUCCACGGCGCCGCCGCCCCACGGCGCGGGCCGCGCUAUUUUGGUGAAGUUCUGCGAAGGGUGCUCAUGGCGCCGCCGUGUCACGGCGGCCGCCGUCCACGGCGCCGCCGUCCCACGGCACCGCCGUCCCUGACUAUUUCCGGCAGUUACGUUUCACCCUAUAAAAACCGUUUUUUAGGGUUUUAUUUGUCAUCUCCGACCCCAGCAGCCUCCUAGACGUUUUUCCCUUGUUUUCCCUUAGUUUAGAAUAGUUAGAAACAUCUUAAACAUCUUUUGAUUCGUUAGAUUAAAGCUAAUGUCGAUUUGCAUUACGUUGGAUUGGAUUUCCGGAUCGUUCUCGCUGUAAGAAUUCUGUUUAUGUUUUCUUUAGAAUUGAAUGGUAGUUUAUUUCCUCUGCAUAGAUUAUUGUUGCUUCGUGUUUACUCAAUGAAUUGUUUAUUCGUUUAUCCCGCCUAGAUAAUCGUUGUUCUUGAUCGUCGAUGUAAUUAUCGUUUUCUAGAUUGCUAGUUAGAACCCUAGGUUUAUUAGUCUUCCUGCGUUCCUUAUCUGCUUCCUUUUUAUCUCGCCUAGAUAGAUUUAUAUGCUUCCCGUUGAUUCAGCACUAGAUAAUUUUACAAGCUUUAUUAAAUUACGCCUAGAUAUAAAGAGAGAGAGUGCCAGACCCAAUUACCCGAUUAGAGUGUUUAGGUUUUAUUUCUGUACUUGUGAGUAGCACAAUUGAAGCCCUGCUAAGCCUUCCUUGAGAGACGACUUGAGUCACCUUACCACCCUAGGACGACCUCGUAUAAAUUCGAGUCCAUCCGCUAGGUGUUUUCUGGAUGAGUCACUACUUUCGUUUUUAAGUUGUUCUGCAACAAGUGCCUUUUUUCUAAAUGAGAAAGUGGGCUCCACCACUUUUAAUUUUUAUUUUUACUCUUUAAUCAUACCCACCUAAAUUCUCAUGCCGAAACGAACUAUGAUACUUGUUAUGAGACAGAGGGAAUAUAACGUACACACCUAUAUAGUGUUGGAUGGAAAAAAACCUCUGAAUCGAUCCAAACUUUUUUGGUUAAGAAAUUUAAGAAAUAUAGAGAAAUGCAGAUUUUGUAUGAUUUCUUUGUUCACCUUUCAUAGAGCAUUUCUUUCUUUAACUACAAUCUAAUUAAAAUUCAACUUCAAGACUUUCAUAGAAAGAGGGAGAGAUGAAGAGAGAGACAAAAAAAUUGAAGAAAGAUAGUCAUAUUUUUCGAAGAGAGAGAGAGAGAUACCCUCUCUAUUGACAAUAAAACUUCUUACAUUUCAUUUUUGGGACAUCCACAAAAAAACUUUUCUUUCUAUAUUUGGAUUAUACCCCCCCACUAAUAAUACCUUAUUAGUUUACACUUGCUUUUUCACCUUGUCACCAUUUUUAAUACAAAUUAAAACAACAUAAUACUAAUUACACAUUUUCACCACUUUUAAUACACUUAACAAUCUCGCUUUAAAACUCAUGUCAAUCUCUCCUAUAAAAUUUUAUUGUGGAAACGUGAUUUUUUUUUAGUUCUCAUAGUAACAAAUCAUAAUGUUAAUCUCAAGCUAUUUUAAAUAGUGUCCUUUAGAAAAUCAAUUGUGUACUUAAGAAUUAUGUGUAAAAACUAAAAAGUGAUCAAUAAAAUUAUCAUUCAAUGGGUGCAUUGAUUAUCAAUUACUCCUUCCGUCCCAUAACAAGUGUCCUACUUUCGUUUUUAAGUUGUUCUGCAACAAGUGCCUUUUUUCUAAAUGAGAAAGUGGGCUCCACCACUUUUAAUUUUUAUUUUUACUCUUUAAUCAUACCCACCUAAAUUCUCAUGCCGAAACGAACUAUGAUACUUGUUAUGAGACAGAGGGAAUAUAACGUACACACCUAUAUAGUGUUGGAUGGAAAAAAACCUCUGAAUCGAUCCAAACUUUUUUGGUUAAGAAAUUUAAGAAAUAUAGAGAAAUGCAGAUUUUGUAUGAUUUCUUUGUUCACCUUUCAUAGAGCAUUUCUUUCUUUAACUACAAUCUAAUUAAAAUUCAACUUCAAGACUUUCAUAGAAAGAGGGAGAGAUGAAGAGAGAGACAAAAAAAUUGAAGAAAGAUAGUCAUAUUUUUCGAAGAGAGAGAGAGAGAUACCCUCUCUAUUGACAAUAAAACUUCUUACAUUUCAUUUUUGGGACAUCCACAAAAAAACUUUUCUUUCUAUAUUUGGAUUAUACCCCACCACUAAUAAUACCUUAUUAGUUUACACUUGCUUUUUCACCUUGUCACCAUUUUUAAUACAAAUUAAAACAACAUAAUACUAAUUACACAUUUUCACCACUUUCAAUACACUUAACAAUCUCGCUUUAAAACUCAUGUCAAUCUCUCCUAUAAAAUUUUAUUGUGGACGGAGGGAGUAUAUUGUUAACUUAAUUAAUUUGGUGGAACCAUGAAGGAUAUUUUACUCAUUUUAAGAAUCUUUGCCUAUAAAAUUACUUUUUUAUUUUUAUUAUGUAGACUAAACACUACUAAAAAAUGCCAUAUUAGCAGCGAAAAUAGCGGCGGCGGGUCGGCCGCAGGGAAUCCGUAGCGGCUCACCGACGGCGAAGCGGCCGACCCGAUUUUUGUAAAAUUUGACCGAAAUUCUGGCGGCAUAAUUACCGCCGGAGAUCCCUGGCGGCAUUUUCAACGAUAAAUUUUCCGGCCACCGCAAAAUGUAUUUUAAUUUUUUAUUUGUUUUUUUUUUUAAAUUAGCGACGGCCUUUAGCCACCGGCGAUUAGCGGCGAUUUAUUGCCGCCGGGAAAUGACAGUUGGUCGGCUAAUAGCGGCGGCGUGGGCCGCCGCUAAUUUUUAGGCCCAAAUUAGUCUUCGCCCUAGCUUCAGCCGCAUUUCACCCCAGCAGCCCCCACCUUCCCUCUGCCCCCUUCCCCCUCCCCCAACCCGUGCCCCAUCGCCGGUCGCCGCCGUCGCCCCUGCCGUCCGCCUCCGUCAAGGUAAGCAUCUCUCUCUCUCUCUCUCUCUCUCUCUCUCUCUCUCACCCUCUUUUCUUUUCUUCCUCUCUCCCCCUAAUUUCAGGUUGUUCCCGCCGACCCAUCGCUACCGCUACCGCCACUGCUCCGUCGCCGACCACCACGGUACGCUCUUGUUCUCGCCAUUUUAUUUAUUUAUUUAUAUCCACAAGUAUUUUUAUAUUUAUACAGUAUUUCAAACCUUAGACGAACUUCCCAGUGGGUCACCCAUCUUAGUUGUGCUCUAAGUCAAGCACGCUUAACCUUGAAGUUCCUUUCGAAUGGUCACCAGUAGAGAACACUCGUAUUAUUAUUAUAUCUAUUACCUUGUCACGACCGGACUUAAUUAAGGAUAAUUAAGCCAGGAAAUCGUAACUAAGGACACAGUUAUAAACGGCAAUCGAAAGAGAGUGAACAUAUAAUAAAGGAUCAAACUAAAAUAAUUGUUAAAGAAAGAAAAAUUCAUAAUAUAACUGAUGUUUAGUCACAAAGACUCAAACAGACUUGUAAGUUCAGAUGAAUCCGACUUAACUAAAAAGACAUAAAACCUAAGAGUACGCAGCGGAAAAACAUAAUCUGACUACAUGUAUGAAGACAUGUAUCCAAGAGUUCAUUCAUUCAACCUAAGACAAAAGCUCCGCUCGUCACUUCAUCACCAUCAGCCAUUGCUCAACCUGCACAUUUAAAAAUAUAUGCAGGGCUGAGUAAGAGAGUACUCAGUGGGCACGUAUGCCUAAUAUACACAUCAUCUCUUAAAAACUAUAAAUUGUCAUGCCAUCAUAAACAGUACAUCGAGGGAGUUUUAACUAAAAGGCCCAAGCUUACUAAAUUCAUUUGUGAUUCUUAAAGUUCGACUGCAGUCUAAGUUCUCAUAAUCUAUCAUAUCUGAAGCUGCGUGCCGGAGAGGUGGCCACCUCUCAACGGACACCGGACCGGCCAACCCGCUAGAUGACUCACGGUCCCUCGUGUACACUAGUCAAGGCAGGAUAGCUAGGGAUGUCAAUGCAGCCCGAAACCCGUGGGCCGACCCGAAUAACCCGAUAAAAUUAGAGGGUUAGAGUUGAAAAAUCGCAACCCGAUUACAAAUCGGGCUAAUCGGGCUAGCCCGUUCGGGCUGUCGGGUUGAAGCGGGUCAGCCCGUCGGGUUGUCGGGCCAGCCCGUCGGGCUAUUGAAUUUUUUUUAAAAAAAAAAUCAAAAAUGAAAUAUUAUGAUUUUAGGCUUGUAGCUUUAAGGUUUGCUUCAGAAUUUCCCUAUUCAGCGGCGCGCCUCCAAGUUCCAACUCUCCAAGUUCUCCAACACUUCCACCGUUCACCGCUUCCGAUCAUCCAACGCCGUUCAUCGCCGUUCGGCGUUCACCGUUGAACCACGGUCAGCAGUUCAGCUCGCCUCUGCAGCCGCGGAGUCCUUCGUUUGCCUCUCAUCUGCCGCCAUUUGCCACCACCGCCUCCAGGCUCCAGCAACCGGUCCACGUCGUCGGCUCCUCCACUCGCGACAGUCGGCAUUUUUGAUCCACCUGUCACCACCGCAGGACAGCCCAGAAGCCAUCACAUCCACCGCUGGCGAGCAACAGUAAAAACGGUGAGUCUUUUUUUAAUUCACCUGAUUAUUUCAUUAGAUGUAGUCAUCCUCUGGUGCGUUGAGAUAGUUGUGAAGAAGAUGGGUCAAACUGGAGGUCAAAGAGCCGCGUGCCAGCAGAUCCUCUGCUAAUUUCACCUGAUUAUUCAUUAAUUAUUAAUAAUCUCCAUCUCUCUCUCUCUCUAUAUAUAUAUCUAAUUAAAAAUAGUAUAUAUGAAUGUAUGAUGAUGUAUAGUAAUUAAUUAAAAAAACCUUAGGCUCUGAGAGCUCCGACGUCUGAUUUGAGGACUCGAUUGUUGGUGGCAGCAUUUUUGCACUUUAUGUUAAUUACAUUUUCACUUAUAUGAAUAUAUGUUUCCAGGGGAUUAUUAUAAUAAUAUUUGUGUCUUUACCCGAUUCAUGAUUCUUCUAUGUUAAGGCUUUCAGUCUACAACUUUUAUGUUUUUUAUUAUGACAAGUUAUAUUUAUUUAUUUAUUUUUAAAUAUUUGAAUGUAUUCAUAUUUCAAAAUUAUACAAAAUUAUUCAUAUACAAUUAUUUUUGUUGUAGGAAUACAAAAGUUACAAAGGUGGAACUUCCGAUUCAAAAUCUCCAACCCGAUGGGCUAGCCCGAAACCCGAACGUUUAGGGUUAGGGUUGAAGAUUUACAACCCGAAAAAACCUCCAACCCGAUUAGCCCGCACCCGAUUAACCCGGAACCCGAUAGGGCUAGCCCGAAAACCCGAUGGGCUGGCCCGAUUGACAUCCCUAAGGAUAGCUAUCAACUGCUCAAGACCCGAAUUCGAUUACAUAAUAACUGGCAAAGCCACAUCAGAUAGAUAUCAUACUGAAAUUGAAACAUUUUAUGGCAAGACAAUACUUGAAAUAACUUCAACUCAAAGAUUUUGUCAUGAAAUAACUUGCUUGAACGUAACAUUUAAACUCAUUUGAUAUAUAUGAAAGUAAUGCCCACCUGAUAAGCGAACCUUUGCUAUAGCUUAGUGACUCCUUAUUAGCUUUUACUGUCGCGCUUGACCUUUAAUGCGAGAACGUAAGGUCAAACCUUAGCUCAAGGAUAAUUCUCAAAUAAAUGAGAAUGCGUAAAAUAAAUAUGCAUGACUCAAUAUUCCCUUAAUUAUUAUAUUGAGAUAAUAAAUCAUAUUAAAAUUCUUAUAAUAAUCUAAAAUAUAAGCUUAAAACUCGUCUUAUGGUAUACUAACUCGCUUAAUUAAUAACCUCAUUCUAAACUAAUCCAAUUAGAUAAAUCGGUCCACUUAAAAACAAUAAAUCGGCCCAACCAGAAGCCCAUCUCUAAAAAAAAUCAACUUCAGCCCAAGUGAGGUCCCUCAUUUUGCUCAAACACGGUUUCUCCCUCUCUCUGAAAUGUCUCUGCGCCAUCUCUCUCUCUACGCGAGUUCUGCCACCACCUGACCGGCGAGGCCGCGCCUCGCCUCUGAACUCCGCCGAGUCGGCGUCCUCAUCCAUGUCUCUCGUCUUCUCCUAUUCUAUUCACUCUCUCCUUCUCUCAUCCACUUCUUCUUAAUUCAAUUCCUCAAUUCUUUGAUCUAAGCCCUAGUUUUCCCUUUAAUCAUAGACCGCAGUCACCGCCGCCGUUGAAGGCCCGGUGAGACGGACGGUCGUGAUUCCGUCUCUUCUCAUUUCUCAACAGGUUCACCUCUUCUCUGCUCAAGUCAGAAGAGCCCUAGCUCUCUGUUGAUUCAGGCGAAAUCGUCGCGCCGCUGGGCUUCGUCUGCCGCUGCUCUGUGAACUGGCGGGAGUCGCCGUUGGCGUCGCGCUGCCUUUGCCCUAAAAUUGGCAAGGCUGUUGCUCGACGCUCCGCCUCCUCUAUUGGGAACUACCGCCUCCCUGUAAGGUCGUUGGAAGCUGCCCCGUAAGCCGAGGCCAUCUUCCGUAGUCGAGGGUCGCUGCGCCGCCGUUGCUAUUUGUUCGGCGAAUCGGAGCAGUCACUCGUAGCCUCGUCGACUCGCGUUGCUCGUCCACGCAGUCUCCGUUCUGUGCCCAACCCUCCCGGGGUCCGACCACAACCAACCUAACCCAGUCUCUCUCCCGGGAAGGACUCAACAGGUUCGUAAGCUUACAAAGCUCCAACUCUCGAUUGGUAAUGUAAUAGGCGAUUUAUGCAAUCACGUCUGGUGUUUGCUAAAGAACUCUAUUCUUAGCACAACUCACAUUAUUCUAUCCUUUAUACACAUGCUAUGGUUUAUUCUGUACCAUAGGAACUUAUGGUUUUUGCUAUGUCCAUUUAUGCGUAUAUUAUUCAACUCUAUAUUCUGAAUUUCUGAUUAAUCUAAGCAUGCUCUGUUGGGGUGUGAAAUAUGCGAACAUAGAGACUAACUUGAGAUCAGGGGCGAAGCUACGCCCCUGGGAUUUUAAAAAUAGUAGGGGUAUUUUCGUAAUUUUAUAUUAAAAAUAAAAAACAUAUAAUUUUAUCUACAUUAUUAUUAUGUUGAGCUAUUUUAAACUGUAAUUAGUAUGCAAUAUUUAGAAUUAAGACGUUUUGAAGAAGUGAACACAUAAUUAAUUUAUACAUAUCAUGAUUGGAUUGGAUUCCGGAUAUUUAUUUUUUUAAUUUGAUAUUGAAAGCUACUUUGUCUUACAAAGUUUUAUGAUAUUUUUGCAAAUAAAAUCACAUUCUAUUUCAAAUUUGUAAUUUUAACGUAACUUUUGACUGUGGCGAAUUAAAUCACUAUUUUUUCAAUUUUUUCAAUUACGUCCCCUAUUUUUUUUUUCGAUCGUCAGAGUGUUGAAUUGCAGCUCACGUGGAUUAGUAAAGACGACGUCGUUUUUGUGAGGCCUAAACGACGUCGUUUCGUAUAAUUUCAAAUAAUUUUUUUUCCAAAUAAAAGAGACAGUAUCUUGUAUUUGCACCAUAAUUUUUAAUAUGUAGUAAUUUUAUUGCAAAAUACAUCGUAACACGAAUAUUAUAUGGAGAAAUAAUUCACACAAACUUCAAGUUAAUAAUUCGACAAUCCAAAAAAUUGGGGGAUGAAAUUGCAAAAAUUAAAAAAGAUGAGUGAUUUACUUUGCCACACUUUCAAAGUUACAUUAAAAAAAAUUUGGACCCCCCUGAAUCGAAAGUCUAGCUCAGCCCCUGCUUGAGAUAGUAAAUACCUUGAUUGUUUUGUCCUUUUCGCUGUCUGUUGCGCUAUUUGAGUUUAAAGAGGAGAUAGCUGAAAAUUUCAGAUGUUGUUUAUUGACAUAUGCCGGAGGAAUCAAGAAUGAACUGGUAGAAAACUUAAGCCAAAGCUUACCUGUUCUAAGUUUGGCAGCAAUUGAAGUCUCUCAUUCCUUUGGUUGUUGAUGAACUAAGGAAUGAAUGAAAGGGCUGAUAGCCGUAAAGAAUCGAAUAUGGUGAAGGUGGUGAGUAGCUGAGGGGAUGGGAUGUCAUAGGGUGGCUGAUUGACUCUCUAGGUGUACCUUGGGUAUGGCUUUGAAGCUGCUCUAGCUGCAGAGAAGGGAUGGGAGCUGCUGUUGCAGCUGCCCUUGUACAGCACGUCCUCCCCCCCCCCCUCUUUUCUUCUCUCUUUGCCAUUUUUUUCCUCCUUUUGUUGCUACGUGUACAAGCUAGAUAGUAGGAGUGAAGUUGUAAUGUAGCUAGGAAUAAAUCCUUCUGUCUUGUAUUUAAUCUGAAUAUAGUUAUGAGUUUUGCUAAUAUUGCUUGUUUGUAAUCGAAUACUAGUUACUCUAAUAAAUCCCGUAUCUGCUAAUUCUAUAUUAAACCCGUAGAUUUAAUUCGCU
rnacentral:lncRNA from 1 species